rnacentral:rRNA from 1 species
ACCCGCUGAACUUAAGCAUAUCAAUAAGCGGAGGAAAAGAAACCAACAGGGAUUGCUCUAGUAACGGCGAGUGAAGCAGCAAUAGCUCAAAUUUGAAAUCUGGCGUCUUCGACGUCCGAGUUGUAAUUUGUAGAGGAUGCUUCUGAGUGGCCACCGACCUAAGUUCCUUGGAACAGGACGUCAUAGAGGGUGAGAAUCCCGUAUGCGGUCGGAAAGGCGCUCUAUACGUAGCUCCUUCGACGAGUCGAGUUGUUUGGGAAUGCAGCUCUAAAUGGGAGGUAAAUUUCUUCUAAAGCUAAAUAUUGGCCAGAGACCGAUAGCGCACAAGUAGAGUGAUCGAAAGAUGAAAAGCACUUUGGAAAGAGAGUUAAAAAGCACGUGAAAUUGUUAAAAGGGAAGGGAUUGCAACCAGACUUGCUCGCGGUGUUCCGCCGGUCUUCUGACCGGUCUACUCGCCGCGUUGCAGGCCAGCAUCGUCUGGUGCCGCUGGAUAAGACUUGAGGAAUGUAGCUCCCUCGGGAGUGUUAUAGCCUCUUGUGAUGCAGCGAGCGCCGGGCGAGGUCCGCGCUUCGGCUAGGAUGCUGGCGUAAUGGUCUUAAUCCGCCCGUCUUGAAACACGGACCAAGGAGUCUAACAUCUAUGCGAGUGUUCGGGUGUCAAACCCCUACGCGUAAUGAAAGUGAACGGAGGUGAGAACCGCAAGGUGCAUCAUCGACCGAUCCUGAUGUCUUCGGAUGGAUUUGAGUAAGAGCAUAGCUGUUGGGACCCGAAAGAUGGUGAACUAUGCCUGAAUAGGGUGAAGCCAGAGGAAACUCUGGUGGAGGCUCGCAGCGGUUCUGACGUGCAAAUCGAUCGUCAAAUUUGGGUAUAGGGGCGAAAGACUAAUCGAACCAUCUAGUAGCUGGUUCCUGCCGAAGUUUCCCU